CUGUUUGAAUGUGCACAAAGUUCGGGGUGCCAGACGAGUGUGGGACAGUGUGUGUGACAAGGUACUCUUGCAUUGCCAUGAUAACUCACGAGAAAAAAGUGUGAAUUUUUGCAAUUUCCCCACGAUAAAGUGCAGUGAUUGUGGUCGCGAGUGGUUGCUGACAGAGAUGAACGUGUCUUACGAUUGGUAGUGCGUUGUAUCGAGCAACACCUGACCUGCAGAUUAGAGCGCCUGGAAUAUGGAGCAGUUUUCGCACGACCUCACACUCGCCCUGGAGGAGACGUCGCGCAUCGGGAAUCUGCACACGAGUCGCUGGGGGCUCCGGAGGCGAACGCGCUCGACGGGGAACUUGCCGAGCGCCCCGCAGCCCACGGAGGACAGCUCCAGCAGUCCGGCGGACGGGCCGUCGAAGCGCCCCGAAUUCGGUGCCACGGCCACGGGUGACGCCCUGACCAACACCUUCCUUAGUGACUCCGACGACCACAGCGAGCUGAAGCUGCUGAUCAAGUCGCGCGACGUGGGCAACUUCGAGUCGGACUCGCUGAAUGAGAACUUCAGUCCCGCCAGGCCCAACACGCGGCGCAAGAGGAAGUUCAAGCGCAUGGCUGUGGAGUACGAGACCACCCCGACGACGCCCGGAACGUCCACGGUGAGCCCCCUGUUCCCGGGCGCCAUCAAGAAGCGCGUGCUUCGGCACGUGUGCCAGGAGAACUUCCGCGCCAAUCUGUACUUCUGCGGCAAGCGAAAGCGCUCGCACCGCGACCGCUGCGCCGAGUACGACAAGCAGCACUCCAGCAGCGUGCCCAGACAGAGGGACUGCUUCAUUCCGCGCUACUCCUACCUGGAGUUCAAGAGCCGCUCGCGGCAGAUGGGCGGCCGGCCCUUCGAGAAGAUCCAGCCGCUCAACAAGACCAUCGUGUCGAAGAUCGAGAAGAUCUCGCAGGAAUCCUCGGCCACCGCCAGCACGUCGACGGUGACGCUUGCGAACAGCCGAGUGGGUGGCUUCGUGGCCGAGCCGGCGGCCACGGAGGAUGAGGACACCAUGAAGAGCGCUGAGGCCUUCCUGCCACCCCACCACGCAUCCCAGGAGCCCAUGCCGCCGCGACGAGGCCGCAAGAAGGAGUACAUGAAGAUGCAGUUGCAGUUCGACGACCCCAACUUCAUGGACUGCAGCCUGAGUGAGUUCCUCAGCUCAAGCUCGCUGAGCAGCAGCGACUCAGAGGAGGCCGCCACGAACGAGAGCGACCAUGAGGGCGACGACGAGCUCACGGACUGGCCGGGAAAUGAGGUGAUGAUCAAUUUCGCGUCUAAGAACGACUUCAAGCGCGCACGACCGCCGAAGCUCACCAAGACGCGGUCGAAUCACGAGGCGCGCGACGGCACCGGCGACGCGGUGAUGAUGAGCGUAGAUGGGGCGCAGCCGCUGCCCCUCCUGACCGGACACAUGCUGCUGGGCGGCAGGGCGCCGGUCUCUGCCACGCAGCCCAUCAAUAUCGCUGGCGGCUCGUCGUACAGCAGUGGCGCCGGCGGCUGUCCGGAGAUAGAGAGCGAGAUGUCCGGCGAGACAUCCAACCACUUCCUCUCGUCGCCCGGCACGCUGAACGAAGUGCGCGAAAUCCGCGCGGGCUGCCGGCGCAUCCGCGAGGAACGGCCGGGCUUCUCCAUCAUCACGAGCGUCAAUGAGGAUCUCUCCAGGUGUGUUGAACAGACUUUGGGGGAGAGUCAAGCGCAAAUUGACUGAUUUCGAUUGAAGAUGGAAUAAAUCAGUUAUGCAGUCUUUCUCCUUCUACGAAUAAAUAGUAGGCUUAGAAAAUACUUGACCAUGAUUAACGGAGAGACUGAAGAGAGAGCAUGAAGACUGUACAAAUUUUAUUUUAGAAAAUGGUAUUUUAUGUUAAGCAUGAACUAUUUUUCAUGAAAAAUCACAAGUAAAGUGAACUUUUAGACUUGCUAUUCACUGUAAAUUUGUGACUGUAAACAAAUUAUGUGUAAAUUCCAUAAUAAACCUAGUCUAUAAUGCUUCUUUGAGUUAUUUUCUGUAUCAUUUUGAUCGGGAAAUUAAUGAAUGAAUGGUCAGAAAAGAUUCCUGCAGGACGGCCAGCAAAUGGAGCUGCGACUGCCGGAGUCAAAUGUG